rnacentral:rRNA from 1 species
GCGUUGCUCGGAAUCACUGGGCGUAAAGCGCGCGUAGGCGGAUUGCUAAGUCAGGGGUGAAAUCCUGGAGCUCAACUCCAGAACUGCCUUUGAUACUGGCGAUCUCGAGUUCGGGAGAGGUGAGUGGAACUGCGAGUGUAGAGGUGAAAUUCGUAGAUAUUCGCAAGAACACCAGUGGCGAAGGCGGCUCACUUGCCCGAUACUGACGCUGAGGUGCGAAAGCGUGGGGAGCAAACAGG